rnacentral:tRNA from 1 species
GGGGAUGUGUGGGAACUGGCAGACGAGCAUGGCUUAGGACCAUGUGCCUAUGGCGUCCGGGUUCGAGUCCCGGCAUCCCCACCA